AUGCCGCGGGGGGCCGCCAAGCGGAGGCGCGAGCCGCCCCCCGUCGCCGCCGCGGGGGAGCGGAAGCUUCUUCCGGGCGAGCACGUCGAGGUCAUUAGUUUUGAUCCAGGGCUAUGCGGAUCAUGGCAUCAGGCUGUUGUGAUUGAAAUUUUGGACAACUUCCGCUCUGUAAGAUACAAUGAUUUUGUUGAUGACAAUGGUAGCGGGUCACCUCUUGUUGAGAAAGUUGAGGUGUCAGAUGCUAUCGAUGGCAAGUCAAGUGCGGCUCAGGGAUCCACUCGUGGAAAAGUAAGACCGGUGCAUCCACAUCAACCGCUGCAGGUAUCUGAUGCAAGCUAUGGACUGUGGGUUGAUGCACUAGUGGAAGGAUCCUACUGGGAAGGUGUAAUUGCUGAUCACGCUGAAGGCUCCAUGGAGAGGAAGGUCUUUUUUCCUGAUGAAGGUGAUGAACGCAUUAUGGCAGUCGACCAGCUACGCCAUACUCAGGACUGGGAUGAAGUUACUGGAACAUGGAAACCACGCGGGAUCUGGUUGUUUCUCCAAAUGCUGUUGUCACAUGAAGAGAAGGAUGGUUUACCUGUAUCAGUCAGGCAGAUAUGGUAUGACCUGAGGUCAAAUCUUUCAUUGACGGCAGAAGACAAUACGUGGAUGUGUGGAACAGAGUCUUUUUGGGAGGGAUCACUUGCAGCCCUUAUUGCAGAAUUACGGUCUGUAUGUGACAAACCUCACCAAGAUGGAAAUCAAAUAGGAGACUCUUGUAGAUCAGCAGAAACUUCAACAUCUGCAGCCUUUCAAAAUAAGAAUAUCGAGCCAAUUGUCUCGGAUAAGCUGGAUUCUGCAUCAGCUGCUAUCUGCCGGACCAUGUUAGAGUUCAUCUCAUACUAUCGCAAUAACGACAGGAUUAGUGCUCGUGCCAAACGGGAGUCUGCAAAGCACUAUCUUAAAUCAGUAGGGUGGACCUUUGUAGACGAUAGAGCUAAGAACAGAUAUUGUGUCUCACCUGAUGGGAAGCGGUUUGCAUCUUUUAUAGCAGCAUGUGAGGCUUACCUGGCACAGAAGGGUUGUCAUCCAAAUGAUUUGCUUCUACAUAGCGCGACUCGAAAUAGUGAAGAUUGCAGCUCAAUUGGCACAGAUCUUAUCCUAAUGGAGAACAAACACCAUAAUAAGUUGAGUACGGAUGCCUCAGCUUCUUGGAUGCCAGUACAGCUAGAUGCAAAAUUUUCCCCACCGAUAGCGUCGCUGCUUGCUAGUUACCAAGAGGUUACCAGUUUUUCCCAGGGACAAAUUAAUGAAACCAUGAGGAUGAAGCUGAAGGAGCAUCUCCUGGCAUUAGGUUGGAGAAUUGUGUUCAAAGAAGACGAUAUUAUAAGGCCUAACGGUCAACCAAGUACUAUUAAGAGAUACCGGUACAAGUCACCUGUCGGGAAGACUUACGUUUCUUUCCUUCAAGUACUCAGGAGCUUCGCAGUUCAGUGUAUUAAACGAGUUAAAGGGAACAAUACUGAAGGCAUUCCUGAUAAUUGCAAUUAUUUGGCAGCAAACAGAGUAAAUCUCGAUGCAGCAGUUUCAAGGGACCUGGCAACACUUGGUAAGCGUAAACGUGAAAAUAAAUCUGAUGUUGUAGGGAAAUAUGUAGACUGUGUGGAAGCGGAUGUGCAGAAUGUCAGGAAAAAGAAAUUUCUGAGAUCAAAAGCUAAGAAGUUCCUCAAAUCUUCUGGUUGGAUAGUCUGCCAAAAGAUGAAAUCUAGUAAAAAACGGGAGCUUCGGUAUCAUUCUCCACAUGGCAAUUCCUACAAAUGUCUGCUGGCAGCAUGUAAAGGAUACUUAGAGGAUGGAUAUCAAAAGGAGAAUAAUGUAAGCUCUGGGAUCACCACUGAUACGUCUAUAGCACUCGGUGGCGGAGCAAGGGAUACAAGUGGAAGAAAGGACCUGCCGGUUUCAGUUUUAGAUAGACAUGAUGGCAUGUUUAGCUGGCCUACAUGUCAUGUAAAAUCAAAGAAAAGAAAAUCAUCUUCGGUACCUAUGAGCCAUGCACGAGUUUUGAGUUCAACACAUGGACAAAUCCUGCCAUAUCAGCAUCGUGCUAAAACCGUUCUGUCUCUGUUGGUAGACAAAAAUAUUCUAUUACCAAGAGUUAAACUUACUUAUAAGCAAAGAAGUGAUGGGCCUCGGCUAAAGGAAGGUGCCGUUACUAAAGAUGGAAUAAAAUGCAGGUGUUGCAAUGAACUAUUCACUCUGGAAAGCUUUGAGGUUCAUGCUGGGUGCAGUACUCGGUUACCUGCUGCUCAUAUCUUUUUGAAGGAUGGGAGGUCCCUUUCACAGUGUUUAGUUGAAUUGAUGGGUGAAAACAAGCCCAAAGAAUCACUGCACGUGCGCUUGAAGACAAAUUGUUCUGAUACAGAAAGUGAUUCAAUAUGCUCGAUAUGCAAUGAGGGUGGGGAAAUAUUACUUUGUGACAAUUGUCCUUCAUCCUUCCACCAUGCUUGUGUCGGUUUGGAGGCCACUCCGGAAGGAAGCUGGUACUGUCCAUCUUGUAGAUGUAGUAUUUGUGACUUGAGUGAUUAUGAUCCUGAUACCAACCAAUUCACCGAGAAGACUAUUAUGUAUUGUGAUCAGUGUGAACGUGAAUAUCAUGUUGGUUGCAUGAGAAACAAAGGUGAUCAGCUCACCUGCUGUCCAGAAGGGUGCUGGUUUUGCAGUAGGGGAUGCUCAGAGAUAUUUCAGCAUUUGCAAGAGCUUAUCGGGAAACCAAUUCCAACUCCUGUCGAAGGCUUAUCAUGCACCAUACUCAGAUUUGACAGAGAAAAUGCUAGUGACCAUGGCGAUUUUUACAAUGAGAUAAUGGCAGAACAGUAUGGCAAGCUGUGCAUUGCACUUGAUGUUCUUCAUGAAUGUUUUGUUACUAUUAUCGAGCCCCGCACACGAAGAGAUCUUUCUGAAGAUAUUGUGUUCAAUAGAGAAUCAGGUCUCCGACGGCUUAAUUUUAGGGGAUUUUACACGAUACUUCUCCAGAAAGAUGGUGAGCUAAUAUCUGUCGGCACUUUUAGGGUAUGUGGGAAGAAGUUUGCUGAGCUGCCUCUUAUCGGUACAAGAAUUCAACAUCGUCGACAAGGAAUGUGUCGCUUACUGAUGAAUGAACUGGAAAAGUUACUUUCUGGCUUGGGGGUGGAAAGGCUUAUCUUACCGGCGAUUCCUCAGCUUCUAGAAACAUGGACAGGAUCAUUUGGUUUCACAGCAAUGUCUUGCUCUGAGAGGUUUGAAUUGGCAGAGAGCAGCAUUCUCAGUUUCCAGGGAACCACCAUCUGUCAGAAGAUUUUAGAUGCCACGGAUCAUAAUCCAAGAGAUAUGAGCAUCCAGUUGGUGCUUAAUGCGGAAGAAAUUGAGUUGGGGAAGAACAGCAUUGUCAGUUUUGAAAGAACCACCACAUGUGACACGGUUGUGAACAAUGCAUCCAAUCAUUCAGAAGAGUUGAAGGUUACAGCGCAGACUAACUAUAACAGUCUAGCAUGUGACACGGUUGUGAACAAUGCAUCCAAUCAUUCAGAAGAGUUGGAGGUCACAGCGCAGACUAACUAUAACAGUCUAGCAUUGGCAGAGAACUCCGUUUUCAGCUCUUGGGGAACCACUAUUUGUCAGAAGGUUUCAAGUAAUGCAUUUAGCCAUCCAGAAGAGUUGAAUGGAUCUGAGUACCAACUGGAAUGUACUAGGAUCGUUCGCGAGACAUUGGAAAGUGAUAGUCAAGAAAGCACUUCAGUGGGGGUAGAAGAUAGAGACCAACCGGAGCCUGAGCUGUUACUGGAAAUUCGGAGUAACAGUAGUGAAGAGGGCAAUUGUGCUGUUGGUGUUCCCAUUAUUACGCCAAACCCAGAAGUUAACUUUGCGGUGGACAGUCAUGGGCAGCCGUAUGACAGUGUUGGUGCAGAUCAGUGCAGCGAGAGUUGUGUUUCAACUGAGGUUAUUAAGCCUGUUGCGGCGGCUCCAGGAUCCAAAUACAAGGGUAAAUGCUACGAGCGGAAUAGAUGGAGCAACGGCCGUAGGAAACUAGAAAUGCACGGCUAUGGGGUCUCCACAAAAUGA
rnacentral:rRNA from 1 species